UACGGGAGGCAGCAGUGGGGAAUAUUGCACAAUGGGCGCAAGCCUGAUGCAGCCAUGCCGCGUGUAUGAAAAAGGCCUUCGGGUUGUAAAGUACUUUCAGUCGUGAGGAAGGCGUUAAGGUUAAUAACCUUAGCAAUUGACGUUAGCGACAGAAGAAGCACCGGCUAACUCCGUGCCAGCAGCCGCGGUAAUACGGAGGGUGCGAGCGUUAAUCGGAAUUACUGGGCGUAAAGGGCACGCAGGCGGUUAAUUAAGUUGGAUGUGAAAUCCCCGGGCUUAACCUGGGAAUGGCAUUCAAGACUGGUUAGCUAGAGUCUUGUAGAGGGGGUAGAAUUCCAUGUGUAGCGGUGAAAUGCGUAGAGAUGUGGAGGAAUACCGGUGGCGAAGGCGGCCCCUGGACAAAGACUGACGCUCAUGUGCGAAAGCGUGGGGAGCAAACAGGGAUUAGAUACC
rnacentral:rRNA from 1 species